rnacentral:lncRNA from 1 species
GAAAAACACGACGUUUGGGUGGACGCCACGGAUUUAAAGUCGCGUUGGUCGCGCGACCAGUCAACGACUCGGUAGGGAAAAAGUACCUAGAAUGGCGGCUGUACCUCUAAUCGCUGUAGUCGUCAGCUGUGCAACCUGUUUUUGGUUUUGCGGUUUUGCGUGAACUGCGCGUCAUGUUGUCAAACCACCCUACCUAAGGUAUGCCAACAAACAACGUGGCCGUUGACUGUCGUAAUUUUCACCGGCUUCGCUUCGAUUAGAGCGGCUUGGAUUAGAGAGUGCUCCCACCUGACGCGGGUUAGACACUUCACAACAGGCAGAGUGUCACCGUCGCAGGACGAGAGCCACUCCGACAACGUUCUCCGACCACGGCCGCUUGAUUCACCGUCGGGCCCAUCGAGGGGCCGCGCUCCGACAUACAACUCCGGCUACGUGGCUCCUCGGGCGCUACGAACGACAUCGUAUGAGUAGGAGCUGGACCAGGAGGAUACCAUUGGACUGUUAAUGAUGUCCGAGACUUGUGACGGGUUCAGGUCAUGGGAUCUAAG